rnacentral:misc_RNA from 1 species
UCCGGUUUGUCACCGGCAGUCUCCCUAGAGUGCCCUUGCGUAGCAACUAGGGACAAGGGUUGCGCUCGUUGCGGGACUUAACCCAACAUCUCACGACACGAGCUGACGACAGCCAUGCAGCACCUGUGUUACGGCUCCCUUUCGGGCACACCCCCAUCUCUGGAGGCUUCCGUACAUGUCAAGGGUAGGUAAGGUGGGGAUGACGUGUGUCAGUCAA